UUCUCAAAGGUCUUCACAGCCCCCCAUGGUGCUGAAUGCAUUUACAUUUAUUUUUGUAAGGUAAAAACAAUGCUGAUUACAGAACAUAACUUGGGCCAUGAAUGAAAUUUGAGGUAGCAGCCAGCCAUCACCUGAUGGUGAGAGGUGGUCCUAAGAUCAGAGAGAAGCAGGUUGAAAUCCCAUCCUUACCUCUCCCUACCUACACCUCCAUCCACAGCUGAAGUGCACUUGAGCAAGGCACACAAGUCCACUUUGGUCCUGGGACUGUAGCCAACACCCUGUAAAACCCUGCUGUGUAAUUUGAUGUAAUGAAGCCCUAAUAUAGUCUAACACAUUGCUUGUUUCAGAUAUGGAAAAUUGCACAAUAAAAGUUCCAGGACAUGAAGGCUGCAUACUGUGAACGUCAACCUUCAGGGCACCGUCCUGCGCAGAAGACUUUCUACCCUAAGAGGGAUGGCUGACCGCAGACACUCACAACCAGCACAGACGCCUCCAACCUCAGACUAGGCCCUUCACAGUUGCUGCACUUACCCACCUUCCCCGAGUUUUUGUGUGGUAAUGACAACUGUAAAUAUAGUAUAAAGUAAUGUAUCUAGUGUCAUGUGUAAUACAUUGUUUAAAUUGUCCAUACAUUUCAAUGACAGUAAAUAUUGGUGGACACAA